ACGACGCUGGCGGCGUGCCUAAUACAUGCAAGUCGAACGGUCUUUUCUAUGGAAGCUUGCUUCCACUGAGAAGAUAGUGGCGAACGGGUGAGUAACACGUGGGUAACCUGCCCAUAAGAGGGGGAUAACAUCCGGAAACGGGUGCUAAUACCGCAUAGUUUUCUUGAUCGCAUGAUCGGGAAAGGAAAGGCGGCCUUUGUGCUGUCGCUUAUGGAUGGACCCGCGGCGUAUUAGUUAGUUGGUGAGGUAACGGCUCACCAAGACGAUGAUACGUAGCCGACCUGAGAGGGUGAUCGGCCACAUUGGGACUGAGACACGGCCCAAACUCCUACGGGAGGCAGCAGUAGGGAAUCUUCCGCAAUGGACGAAAGUCUGACGGAGCAACGCCGCGUGAGUGAAGAAAGGUUUUCGGAUCGUAAAACUCUGUUGUCAGAGAAGAACAAGUUGGAGAGUAACUGCUCCAGCCUUGACGGUAUCUGACCAGAAAGCCACGGCUAACUACGUGCCAGCCGCAGC
rnacentral:rRNA from 1 species